UGCACAUGCUGUGAGCUCGAUGAGUAGGGCGGGACACGUGGUAUCCUGUCUGAAUAUGGGGGGACCAUCCUCCAAGGCUAAAUACUCCUGACUGACCGAUAGUGAACCAGUACCGUGAGGGAAAGGCGAAAAGAACCCCGGCGAGGGGAGUGAAAAAGAACCUGAAACCGUGUACGUACAAGCAGUGGGAGCACGCUUAGGCGUGUGACUGCGUACCUUUUGUAUAAUGGGUCAGCGACUUAUAUUCUGUAGCAAGGUUAACCGAAUAGGGGAGCCGAAGGGAAACCGAGUCUUAACUGGGCGUUAAGUUGCAGGGUAUAGACCCGAAACCCGGUGAUCUAGCCAUGGGCAGGUUGAAGGUUGGGUAACACUAACUGGAGGACCGAACCGACUAAUGUUGAAAAAUUAGCGGAUGACUUGUGGCUGGGGGUGAAAGGCCAAUCAAACCGGGAGAUAGCUGGUUCUCCCCGAAAGCUAUUUAGGUAGCGCCUCGUGAAUUCAUCUCCGGGGGUAGAGCACUGUUUCGGCAAGGGGGUCAUCCCGACUUACCAACCCGAUGCAAACUGCGAAUACCGGAGAAUGUUAUCACGGGAGACACACGGCGGGUGCUAACGUCCGUCGUGAAGAGGGAAACAACCCAGACCGCCAGCUAAGGUCCCAAAGUCAUGGUUAAGUGGGAAACGAUGUGGGAAGGCCCAGACAGCCAGGAUGUUGGCUUAGAAGCAGCCAUCAUUUAAAGAAAGCGUAAUAGCUCACUGGUCGAGUCGGCCUGCGCGGAAGAUGUAACGGGGCUAAACCAUGCACCGAAGCUGCGGCAGCGACGCUUAUGCGUUGUUGGGUAGGGGAGCGUUCUGUAAGCCUGUGAAGGUGUGCUGUGAGGCAUGCUGGAGGUAUCAGAAGUGCGAAUGCUGACAUAAGUAACGAUAAAGCGGGUGAAAAGCCCGCUCGCCGGAAGACCAAGGGUUCCUGUCCAACGUUAAUCGGGGCAGGGUGAGUCGACCCCUAAGGCGAGGCCGAAAGGCGUAGUCGAUGGGAAACAGGUUAAUAUUCCUGUACUUGGUGUUACUGCGAAGGGGGGACGGAGAAGGCUAUGUUGGCCGGGCGACGGUUGUCCCGGUUUAAGCGUGUAGGCUGGUUUUCCAGGCAAAUCCGGAAAAUCAAGGCUGAGGCGUGAUGACGAGGCACUACGGUGCUGAAGCAACAAAUGCCCUGCUUCCAGGAAAAGCCUCUAAGCAUCAGGUAACAUCAAAUCGUACCCCAAACCGACACAGGUGGUCAGGUAGAGAAUACCAAGGCGCUUGAGAGAACUCGGGUGAAGGAACUAGGCAAAAUGGUGCCGUAACUUCGGGAGAAGGCACGCUGAUAUGUAGGUGAAGUCCCUCGCGGAUGGAGCUGAAAUCAGUCGAAGAUACCAGCUGGCUGCAACUGUUUAUUAAAAACACAGCACUGUGCAAACACGAAAGUGGACGUAUACGGUGUGACGCCUGCCCGGUGCCGGAAGGUUAAUUGAUGGGGUCAGCGCAAGCGAAGCUCUUGAUCGAAGCCCCGGUAAACGGCGGCCGUAACUAUAACGGUCCUAAGGUAGCGAAAUUCCUUGUCGGGUAAGUUCCGACCUGCACGAAUGGCGUAAUGAUGGCCAGGCUGUCUCCACCCGAGACUCAGUGAAAUUGAACUCGCUGUGAAGAUGCAGUGUACCCGCGGCAAGACGGAAAGACCCCGUGAACCUUUACUAUAGCUUGACACUGAACAUUGAGCCUUGAUGUGUAGGAUAGGUGGGAGGCUUAGAAGUGUGGACGCCAGUCUGCAUGGAGCCGACCUUGAAAUACCACCCUUUAAUGUUUGAUGUUCUAACGUUGACCCGUAAUCCGGGUUGCGGACAGUGUCUGGUGGGUAGUUUGACUGGGGCGGUCUCCUCCUAAAGAGUAACGGAGGAGCACGAAGGUUGGCUAAUCCUGGUCGGACAUCAGGAGGUUAGUGCAAUGGCAUAAGCCAGCUUGACUGCGAGCGUGACGGCGCGAGCAGGUGCGAAAGCAGGUCAUAGUGAUCCGGUGGUUCUGAAUGGAAGGGCCAUCGCUCAACGGAUAAAAGGUACUCCGGGGAUAACAGGCUGAUACCGCCCAAGAGUUCAUAUCGACGGCGGUGUUUGGCACCUCGAUGUCGGCUCAUCACAUCCUGGGGCUGAAGUAGGUCCCAAGGGUAUGGCUGUUCGCCAUUUAAAGUGGUACGCGAGCUGGGUUUAGAACGUCGUGAGACAGUUCGGUCCCUAUCUGCCGUGGGCGCUGGAGAACUGAGGGGGGCUGCUCCUAGUACGAGAGGACCGGAGUGGACGCAUCACUGGUGUUCGGGUUGUCAUGCCAAUGGCACUGCCCGGUAGCUAAAUGCGGAAGAGAUAAGUGCUGAAAGCAUCUAAGCACGAAACUUGCC
rnacentral:rRNA from 1 species